CCUACGGGCGGCUGCAGUGGGGAAUUUUGGACAAUGGGCGCAAGCCUGAUCCAGCAAUGCCGCGUGCAGGAAGAAGGCCUUCGGGUUGUAAACUGCUUUUGUCAGGGAAGAAAUCUUCUGGGCUAAUACCCCGGGAGGAUGACGGUACCUGAAGAAUAAGCACCGGCUAACUACGUGCCAGCAGCCGCGGUAAUACGUAGGGUGCGAGCGUUAAUCGGAAUUACUGGGCGUAAAGCGUGCGCAGGCGGCUUUGCAAGACAGAUGUGAAAUCCCCGGGCUCAACCUGGGAACUGCAUUUGUGACUGCAAGGCUAGAGUACGGCAGAGGGGGAUGGAAUUCCGCGUGUAGCAGUGAAAUGCGUAGAUAUGCGGAGGAACACCAAUGGCGAAGGCAAUCCCCUGGGCCUGUACUGACGCUCAUGCACGAAAGCGUGGGGAGCAAACAGGAUUAGAUACCCCAGUAGUC
rnacentral:rRNA from 1 species